rnacentral:rRNA from 1 species
AACGAACGCUGGCGGCAUGCCUAAUACAUGCAAGUCGAACGACCGGAGCAAUCCGGGAGUGGCGAACGGGUGAGUAACACGUGGGAACCUGCCCAGCGGUGGGGAACAACCGAGGGAAACUUCGGCUAAUACCGCAUACGCCCUUACGGGGAAAGAUUUAUCGCCGUUGGAGGGGCCCGCGUCCGAUUAGCUAGUUGGUGAGGUAACGGCUCACCAAGGCAACGAUCGGUAACUGGUCUGAGAGGACGACCAGUCACACGGGGACUGCGACAGUGCCGAGACUUCUACGGGAGGCAGCAGUAGGGAAUAUUGGACAAUGGGGAAAACCCUGAUCCAGCCAUGCCGCGGGGGUGAUGAAGGCCUUAGGGUUGUAAAGCUCUUUCGUCCACGACGAUGAUGACGGUAGUGGAAGAAGAAGCCCCGGCUAACUUCGUGCCAGCCGCCGCAGUAA